AGACCAUGAUGAGGACAUUUCCUCAAUUGCUCCUUGAAUCUUUCCCAAGUUUCAUAUAAGGAAUCCCCGUCCUCUUGUGAAUAUGUAUUGAUUUCAGUCAUUUAGCGAUU